UACAUAGGGUGCGAGCGUUAAUCGGAAUUACUGGGCGUAAAGCGCGCGUAGGCGGUUAUCUAAGUCGGAUGUGAAAGCCCUCGGCUUAACUGAGGAAGUGCACCCGAAACUGGAUAGCUAGAGUACGAAAGAGGGUCGCGGAAUUCCCGGUGUAGAGGUGAAAUUCGUAGAUAUCGGGAGGAACACCGAUGGCGAAGGCGGCUCACUGGUCCGGUACUGACGCUGAGGUGCGAAAGCGUGGGGAGCAAACAGG
rnacentral:rRNA from 1 species